GACGUAGGGUCCAAGCGUUGUCCGGAUUUACUGGGCGUAAAGAGCGCGCAGGCGGUCGUAUAAGUCGAAUGUGAAAGCCCCCGGCUCAACUGGGGAGGGUCACGCGAUACUGAUCGACUCGAAGGCAGGAGAGGGUAGUGGAAUUCCCGGUGUAGUGGUGAAAUGCGUAGAUAUCGGGAGGAACACCAGUGGCGAAGGCGACUACCUGGCCUGUUCUUGACGCUGAGGCGCGAAAGCUAGGGGAGCAAACGGG
rnacentral:rRNA from 1 species